rnacentral:rRNA from 1 species
UACGUAGGGCGCAAGCGUUAUCCGGAAUUAUUGGGCGUAAAGAGCUCGUAGGCGGUCUGUCGCGUCGGCUGUGAAAUCCCGAGGCUCAACCUCGGGUCUGCAGUCGAUACGGGCAAACUAGAGUAUUGCAGGGGAGACUGGAAUUCCUGGUGUAGCGGUGAAAUGCGCAGAUAUCAGGAGGAACACCGGUGGCGAAGGCGGCCUUCUGGACAGUGACUGACGCUGAGACGCGAAAGCGUGGGGGAGCAAACAGG